rnacentral:rRNA from 1 species
UACGUAGGGGGCGAGCGUUGUCCGGAUUUAUUGGGCGUAAAGAGCUCGUAGGCGGCUUAGCAAGUCGGGUGUGAAAACUCCAGGCUCAACCUGGAGACGCCACUCGAGACUGCUAUGGCUAGAGUCCGGUAGGGGACCACGGAAUUCCUGGUGUAGCGGUGAAAUGCGCAGAUAUCAGGAAGAACACCAACGGCGAAGGCAGCUCGCUAGGACGGUACUGACGCUGAGACGCGAAAGCGUGGGGAGCGAACAGG